AAGGGGCAGUAAUGCGUGGGUAACCUACCCUGGGGAUGGGCAUAGCCGUUCUAACGAGCGGGUAAUUCCCAGCGAUCCGGCGAGGUGGCAUCUUCUUGCCGGGAAAUGAGUUUCGCCUCGGGAGGGGCCCACGUGCUAUUAGCUAGUUGGCGGGGUAACGGCCCACCAAGGCUAAGAUGGCUAGCGGGUGUGAGAGCACGACCCGCGCCACUGGCACUGAGACACUGGCCAGACACCUACGGGUGGCUGCAGUCGAGGAUCUUCGUCAAUGGGCGCAAGCCUGAACGAGCGACGCCGCGUGUGCGAUGAAGGCCUUCGGGUUGUAAAGCACUGUCGAGGGGGAUCAAGGCGCAAGCUUGAGCGAUCCCUGGAGGAAGCACGGGCUAAGUUCGUGCCAGCAGCCGCGG
rnacentral:rRNA from 1 species